rnacentral:tRNA from 1 species
GCCGGAAUGCUUAUUUUGUCCGCCUUGUAAGCGGUAGGUCGUCAGUUCGAUUCCGACUGCCGGCACCA